rnacentral:rRNA from 1 species
AGCGAACGCUGGCGGCAGGCCUAACACAUGCAAGUCGAACGGAUCCUUCGGGAUUAGUGGCGGACGGGUGAGUAACACGUGGGAACGUGCCUUUUGGUUCGGAACAACUCAGGGAAACUUGUGCUAAUACCGGAUGUGCCCUUCGGGGGAAAGAUUUAUCGCCAUUGGAGCGGCCCGCGUCUGAUUAGCUAGUUGGUGAGGUAACGGCCCACCAAGGCGACGAUCAGUAGCUGGUCUGAGAGGAUGAUCAGCCACACUGGGACUGAGACACGGCCCAGACUCCUACGGGAGGCAGCAGUGGGGAAUCUUGCGCAAUGGGCGAAAGCCUGACGCAGCCAUGCCGCGUGAAUGAUGAAGGUCUUAGGAUUGUAAAAUUCUUUCAGCGGGGACGAUAAUGACGGUACCCGCAGAAGAAGCUCCGGCUAACUUCGUG